rnacentral:rRNA from 1 species
GACGAACGCUGGCGGCGUGCUUAACACAUGCAAGUCGAACGGAAAGGCCCUGCUUUUGUGGGGUGCUCGAGUGGCGAACGGGUGAGUAACACGUGAGUAACCUGCCCUUGACUUUGGGAUAACUUCAGGAAACUGGGGCUAAUACCGGAUAGGAGCUCCUGCUGCAUGGUGGGGGUUGGAAAGUUUCGGCGGUUGGGGAUGGACUCGCGGCUUAUCAGCUUGUUGGUGGGGUAGUGGCUUACCAAGGCUUUGACGGGUAGCCGGCCUGAGAGGGUGACCGGCCACCUUGGGACUGAGAUACGGCCCAGACGCCUACGGGAGGCAGCAGUGGGGAAUAUUGCACAAUGGGCGGAAGCCUGAUGCAGCAGCGCCGCGUGCGGGAUGACGGCCUUCGGGUUGUAAACCGCUUUCGCCUGUGACGAAGCGUGAGUGACGGUAAUGGGUAAAGAAGCACCGGCUAACUACGUG